rnacentral:rRNA from 2 species
CGGGAAGAUGGAGAAGUCUGACGGAGCACGCCGCGUGAACGAAGAAGGCCUUCGGGUCGUAAAGUUCUGUUGUUAGGGAAGAACAAGUACCAGAGUAACUGCUGGUACCUUGACGGUACCUAACCAGAAAGCCACGGCUAACUACGUGCCAGCAGCCGCGGUAAUACGUAGGUGGCAAGCGUUGUCCGGAAUUAUUGGGCGUAAAGCGCGCGCAGGUGGUUCUUUAAGUCUGAUGUGAAAGCCCACGGCUCAACCGUGGAGGGUCAUUGGAAACUGGGGAACUUGAGUGCAGAAGAGGAAAGUGGAAUUCCAAGUGUAGCGGUGAAAUGCGUAGAGAUUUGGAGGAACACCAGUGGCGAAGGCGACUUUCUGGUCUGUAACUGACACUGAGGCGCGAAAGCGUGGGGAGCAAACAGGAUUAGAUACCCUGGUAGUCCACGCCGUAAACGAUGAGUGCUAAGUGUUAGAGGGUUUCCGCCCUUUAGUGCUGCAGCUAACGCAUUAAGCACUCCGCCUGGGGAGUACGGCCGCAAGGCUGAAACUCAAAGAAUUUGACGGA